rnacentral:rRNA from 1 species
UACGUAGGGUGCAAGCGUUGUCCGGAAUUAUUGGGCGUAAAGAGCUCGUAGGCGGUUUGUUGCGUCGGCUGUGAAAUCCCGAGGCUCAACCUCGGGUCUGCAGUCGAUACGAGCAAACUAGAGUGUUGCAGGGGAGACUGGAAUUCCUGGUGUAGCGGUGAAAUGCGUAGAUAUCGAGAGGAACACCUGCGGCGAAGGCGGGUUGCUGGGCUGAUACUGACGCUGAGGCGCGAAAGCUAGGGGAGCGAACGGG